UAUGAAGAAGUCUAUGUUUCUGGGUGG
rnacentral:sRNA from 1 species